UACGAAGGGGGCUAGCGUUGUUCGGAAUCACUGGGCGUAAAGCGCACGUAGGCGGGUUUUAAGUCAGAGGUGAAAUCCUGGAGCUCAACUCCAGAACUGCCUUUGAUACUGAAAGUCUUGAGUAUGGGAGAGGUGAGUGGAACUGCGAGUGUAGAGGUGAAAUUCGUAGAUAUUCGCAAGAACACCAGUGGCGAAGGCGCUCACUGGCCCAUUACUGACGCUGAGGCACGAAAGCGUGGGGAG
rnacentral:rRNA from 1 species